GAGGGAUCCAGCUUGGAUAUCCAUGGAUCAGGAAGCGCACCAAGACUGUAUUGAAAAUGAAUCCUCUUCCCCAAAUGUGUCUGGCACAGAAAGACACCACACCAGCCUUCUCGAGCUGCAAAGCCUCUUGGCAGUCUGUUAACUUGGCCAACUCAGAUGCCCGUUACCUUUAACACAGAUGGCACAAUCUCUGAUGGGUGCUUUGCGUUUGUCUGCAAAACCAGGCACUCUUUAAGAUGCUCCGAGCUCCUUAGAAUGACCAUUCGCUUUAAAAAANNNNNNNNNNAAAAAAAAAAAAAAAAAAAAAAGGGCGAUUGCCUGCUUAUCAGGACACAUUUCCUUUAUGCAGUGAGGACGGAGCCAGGCAGAACGAACCGUAUCCCUUAUUUUAACCCCUGGGGUAACUUAUUACAGCGCCAUUUUAAUCGGCGUGCUCUUUUAAUACUGAUAAUGCCAAUAGCUUGAGCAAAUAAACUGCAAGUUUCCUACGGUUCAUUCUUUGGGAAAAGGUCGUUCACCCCGUGCUGUAAAUGGACCCACUAAAGAGGUGUGUUUUUUUUUCAGGGACCGGAGCAAACCUCACCUGUUGGACUAGCCUUCACGCAUGACUCAGGAGCAGAGUGAAUCACAGCCCGGAGCACUUGGAGAGGAGGAGGACGGGCAGCCUUGGUCACCGUAGGAAGGCGCUGACGGGUGCUUGGGGCAGACGUCUUCAGACGGCAGGGCUCGCAGAAGAAAUGUAGCUGCCCCUCUCCUGGGAACUGCGUGUUUCUGGCAUCCGCACACUGAACGAACCCUGGUGAAGCCGUGAUCCAUCCGAGCUGCACGUACAAAUAUGAAGAUACUCUGGAUAAUCCCCUUUUUCCUGCUGCAAGACACGGAAGCUUUUCUGAUGAAGAAUGCCAAAAUCAAGCUGUGUUUACAAGCCAGCCCUACAGACGAGAGUUUACAGCUGGAGGACUGUGACCCAGACUCAGAUUUGCAGCAGUGGUCUUGGCAGGGUGAUUCCUUGAAGAAUCGCGGCAUGCAGAGCUGCCUCUCUGUGCUGGGGGACAGCGGGGUGCAGACAAGCCCCUGUGACAACACAGCUUCCACGGGCUGGGACUGCUCCAACUCAUUGCUCUCCCCUCUGGGCAGCAGCCAGAGCUACCUGGUGGCGAGCAGGAAAGGAGUUAGCCUCGAUAAUGUGAGAGGCCUCAAGGCUCAGUGGCAGCAAGGUGUCACGGAGGAGAAUGUCUGCAAGGAGAAAGCAGCCAGGGCGGUGCAAGACAGCUACUUCUACGCAGCCCUCACCAGCACGCAGGUGUACGACCAUACAGCAUACAACUCCACCCUGGUGGCGGGCAUGGAUCCAGAAGAGCUGAACAAUCUGCUGUGGUUCUUCCGCACAGAAGACCCAUCAUCUUGGAAUUACUCCGUCCUCGCGCUUUCCUUCGUGGCCACGAUUUUGGGUCUUGUCCUCCUGGGCAUUAACAUUACACGAAACAGGUGAGUGAGGAAAAUUCGGGUGUGGUGGUGCACUAAGGACCUCAAACAGAUGACAUGGGGGUUGGCUGGGCAGGAACAAGCACUGAGGGAUGGAGAAAAGAGCAAAGACAAACUUCCUUUGACCCCUGCUUCACCGUAAAACCUUCCCUACCUUCCUGCUCUCCUCGUGUGCCACUCAGAACAAGCACCUUCACUUCUCUGUGCCAUGGAUCCUCACCAAUAAAGCAUGUGCAAAAGCACUGGCCAGCCCAAGAGAGGUUUUGGGAGGAAAACGCCACAAAAUGUGUGUAUUUGGGGUGCCCUCCCAUAAAUAUAGGGGCACGCAGGACUGAAGCAGAACUCCCCAGCCAUCUGCGAUCCCACAGUGCUUCCCUGGGCCAUCCUGCAGCACAGUAGCCCUGCAGCUGAGGAGUAACUUGCUGCCUUCUGGAGCGAGAAAACACACGAGGGGCCGAGCUUUCACCCUGAGAUAAGCCUAAAAGAGAUGCUGCAGG
rnacentral:lncRNA from 1 species